rnacentral:rRNA from 1 species
CAGCCGCCACGGUAAUACGAAGGGGGCUAGCGUUGUUCGGAUUUACUGGGCGUAAAGCGCACGUAGGCGGAUCCUUAAGUCAGAGGUGAAAUCCCAAGGCUCAACCUUGGAACUGCCUUUGAUACUGGGGAUCUCGAGUCCGGGAGAGGUGAGUGGAACUGCGAGUGUAGAGGUGAAAUUCGUAGAUAUUCGCAAGAACACCAGUGGCGAAGGCGGCUCACUGGCCCGGUACUGACGCUGAGGUGCGAAAGCGUGGGGAGCAAACAGGAUUAGAUACCCCCGUAGUCCCUGUCUCUUAUAC